GAUGAACGCUGGCGGCGUGCCUAAUACAUGCAAGUCGAGCGAACGGACGAGAAGCUUGCUUCUCUGAUGUUAGCGGCGGACGGGUGAGUAACACGUGGAUAACCUACCUAUAAGACUGGGAUAACUUCGGGAAACCGGAGCUAAUACCGGAUAAUAUUUUGAACCGCAUGGUUAAAAAGUGAAAGACGGUCUUGCUGUCACUUAUAGAUGGAUCCGCGCUGCAUUAGCUAGUUGGUAAGGUAACGGCUUACCAAGGCAACGAUGCAUAGCCGACCUGAGAGGGUGAUCGGCCACACUGGAACUGAGACACGGUCCAGACUCCUACGGGAGGCAGCAGUAGGGAAUCUUCCGCAAUGGGCGAAAGCCUGACGGAGCAACGCCGCGUGAGUGAUGAAGGUCUUCGGAUCGUAAAACUCUGUUAUUAGGGAAGAACAUAUGUGUAAGUAACUGUGCACAUCUUGACGGUAUCUAAUCAGAAAGCCACGGCUAACUACGUG
rnacentral:rRNA from 1 species